rnacentral:rRNA from 1 species
CCUACGGGAGGCAGCAGUGAGGAAUAUUGGUCAAUGGGCGAAAGCCUGAACCAGCCAAGUCGCGUGAGGGAAGACGGUCCUACGGUUUGUAAACCUCUUUUGUAAGGGAGAAAAGUGUGGCACGCGUCCCUCCUCGCAUGUACCUUAUGAAAAAGCAUCGGCUAACUCCGUGCCAGCAGCCGCGGUAAUACGGAGGAUGCGUGCGUUAUCCGGAUUGAUGGGGUUUAAAGGGUGCGCAGGCGGAGUUGUAAGUUAGCUGGGAAAGUCCGGGGCUCAACAGUGGAAGAGCCGUUGAAACUGGGAGGCUGGAGUGGGCGAGAGGAAGGCGGAAUGCGUGGUGUAGCGGUGAAAUGCGUAGAUAUCACGCAGAACUCCGAUGGCGAAGGCAGCAUUCCGGGGCGUAACUGACGCUGAUGCACGAAAGCGUGGGUAUCGAACAGGAUUAGAUACCCGAGUAGUC